AUUAGUUUCACCAAAUUGCAAAGCAGUGAAUCCCACCCUCAUAUUCACUCACGGCCUCAUCAGUCAUCGCCCAUUUCACACUUCUAGAUUUCCAUUCCUGUAGGCUUCUUCACUCUGCUGAGUCGCCGCCCACCUCACUCGCGGCUCUUUGCGACGACCCUCGUCAUCCCUCCUCUGCGACAGCUUCGUCCUCCGUCAUCCGUCCUCCGUCCUUGGUAUUUUCUCUAUCUUUUCUCAUAUUCUCUCUACACCCCUUCGUCAAGUCUCUGAAGCAUUCGCUUCUUUGCUUGCUGCGGAGGACCUCUUGCUUCACUCACCUUCCCCACUUCAGUCGCCACCGCAUCGCAUCCGAAUUAUCAGAGUGAUAUCUUAGCUUCUCGCGAAAGGAUCUUCGAGAACGCUUUUCGUGAAAUUUUGGAGCGGAGGGCAUCUGCACACUCUUGUCUUCUACUGUUUGAUUAAUUAUCUUCUACAGUUCCAGGUUAGUUGAACUUAAUUAUACUUGACUAAUUAUCUUGUCUCAUAUUUAGCAUAUUUAGUAGUCUAGAGAUGUAUUUGAAUGCAUGAUGAUUUGGUGUUCAAAUAAUUUAGUAUUCGGAACCGUAAACCAGCAAGAAUUGAAUCGAAACCGGUGUAGACCGAACCGUAAGGUUCUAGUAAUAAAUUUAAGCGGAACCGCACCGAAUCGAACCGUUGAUAUUUUCCGGUUCUGGUUUAGGGGUGGAACCGCACUGUGCCCACCCUUAUUUCGCAGUCUAACCCUAGAACAACUUUGCAGUAAUGAUUUGUGCUUAAUUCUUGUUUUCCAAGAUUUUCUCUGUUCUAUAUAUAUUCUUUAUUUUUUAUUUUUUAUGAAUUGUAUAUAUUUUUAUUAUGUAUAAAUGUCCAUUUUUUGGUUAAAUGUGAUAGAUGAUCUACAACAACUAUAUUUGUAUACGGCAAUAGAGAGGGGUCCGGCGGUCAGGAUCUUCCGGAUCGACGAAUCUACAUUGGAUAGGAUCCCUUGGAUAAAAACAGAAUUCUCGGAUGGUGGAUCUCUAAGAUAUCUAAAGAAAACAUAUUAGAAAUAAGCACCGAUGAUCCUGAACUUCAAAUUUCAAUUGGAUACAAGAAGCCUUAUGUAUAUAUUACCAUAUAGGCAAUAAACGAAGGGAUGCCGUAGGAACAAACUAGCAUAUGAUUGAGCAUACUACAGAACCAGAUCAUUCAAACUCAAAGGGCUUAGAAAUUGUAAGUUAUUCGAUAACUUGUUUAGUACGUAUACUAAAACCAAUAUGAUAUCUCUACUCCUAACACUUUCAAUUACUAUGUGUACUGCAACUGUACAAUUGGUCGCUAAAAAAGAUAUAUCUUGUUAAGAAAAAGUCUACUAGGCAACGUCUUGGUUCUAAUAAUGUGCACGCUGAUAAAGUAAGUUUUUAGAGAUUUUAUAUACACUCACACUACUGUAGUUUCUAGCGUCUUUAUUUUUUUUAUUUUUCGUUAUGACGUUUGGCCAAUCUCUUUAUUUUCUACAUAGUUUUGUUUUGUUUUGGUUUUGGUUUGGUUUUUUUUUCUUCUUCUGUCGAAACCAUUUGCAAUGUCAAUAGUGCACAUUAGGCCUACGAAAUAAAGAAUAAAGAAUCACUUGCUAUAUAGCAUGGUUAAUUUCUUAUUUACAAUGUUGUUUAUUUUUAGCCUAAGAAUAUGUUAGAAUAUGAUCCAAACCUUACGACGUUUUUUCAAUGGUCUUAUUUUUUAUGCUUAAUUAUAUUCAUCUUAUGAUUUUCGUUUUAGUUGUUGGGACAAUGUUAUUUAUAUUCAAUGUCCCAACAAUUAAAACGAAAAUCGUAAGAUAAUAUGAUUAAGCAUCGAAAAUAAGACCAUUGAAAAAACGUCAUAAGGUUUGGAGCAAAUUCUAACAUAUACUUAUGAUAAAAAUAAAAAACAUUGUAAAUAAGAAAUUAACCAUGCUAUAUAGCAAGUGAUUCUUUAUUCUUCAUUUCGUAUGCCUAAAAUGCACUAUUGACAUUGCAAAGUGGUUUUGACAGAAGAAAAAAACAAACCAAACCAAAACUAUGUAGAAAAUAAUUAAGAGAUUGGUCAAACGUCAUUUCGAAAAAAUAAAUAAAGACACUAGAAACUACAGUAUUGCGAGUGUGUAUAAAAUCUCUAAAAACUUACGUCAUCAGCGUGCACAUUAUUAGAACCACGACGUUGCCUAGUAGACUUUUUCUUGCCAAGAUAUAUCUUUUUUAGCAACCAAUUGUACAACUGCAGUACACAUAGUAAUUAAAAGUGUUAGGAGUAGAGAUAUCAUAUUGGUUUUAGUAUACGUGCUAAACAAGUUAUCGAAUAACUUACAAUUCCUGAGCCCUUUGAGUUUGAAUGAUCUGGUUCUGUACUAUGCUCAAUCAUAUGCUAAUAUGUUCCUACGACAUCCUUUCGCUUAUUGCCUAUAUGGUAUACAUAAGGCUUCUUGUAUCCAAUUUAAAUUUGAAGUUCAGGAUCAUCCGUACUUAUUCCUAAUAUGUUUUCUUUAGAGAUCCACCAUUCAAGAAUUUCCUUUCUAUCCAAGGGAUCCUGUCCAAUGUAGACUCGUCAAUCCGAAAGAUCAUGACCGCCGGGCCCCCACUCCAUUGCUGUAUACAAAUAUAGUUGUUGUAGAUCAUCUAUCACAUUUAACCAAAAAAUGGAGAUUUAUACAGAAUAAAAAAUGUAUACCUUUCAUAAAGAUAAAAAGGAAAAAAUAUAUAGAAUAGAGAAAAUCUUGGAAAACAAGAAUUAAGCACAAAUCAUUGGGGGUUAGGCUACGAAAUUCAUCGACAACUAACUGAGAAGGCUGAGGUUGACCGUUUAUCUACCUAUUCAAGAAGUAGAAGAUUAAUUCUUGGUCUGACGGCUCAUCAGUUACUCUAUCCCUUAUCUCAUUAAGAAGCUGAUGCAUGUCUCCAUCUCGAACUAAAUGUUCUGUCACAUCCCGUGGCGGAGCUGCCAUGGAUGGAACAAUGGAAAAGAGGGAAAAGAAAUAGACUAUCUAGCUUCAAACACCGAACAAAGGUGUUUUCUUACGGACGCUCUUGGAUAAACAAGCUCCAUGCAUGUAAUACUAGAGUAACUAUAUAUAUGUGUGUCACUCUUCAAGGCAACAUUGCGAAUUAAAUAAACUCCUUAAAUAAAUUAAGUUGCAACAAAAAAGCAAAAGUAUUCGUGCACUACCUUAAAAAUGAGGUAGUUAGUGUGUAGUACUACGUAGAAAACAUUGAUCACAGGUUACACCGGUGCAGCUGUUGUUGAAGGUCAGGCCGGCCGACGUGACUCACAUGCGUUGGCGGGCCCUACUUCUAUUAGAGAAAUUUACAAACAGGUGGCAAUAGAUUUGUUGAAUACAAGGCAGUAUGAGAUCUUCAAGUUCGGGAAUCAAGAUUAGGGGCCUAUCUCAAAAUUUGGAAUCAAGAAGUUUUCAUGAAUUUUUGAACCACUAAUGUUGUGAGAAUAGAGUGAGCUUAGUCAGCUAUGUAAAUCUCUACAAUCACAUGCAGGUGGAACCUGUUGAAUUGAAGGAACUUCUCAAAGGCCCCCCGAUGGUAUCUACAUAAAGAGGGCGAGCCUUGGCGCACUGAAAUGUUGCUCCUUCGUGACCGAAAGGUUUCGGGUUCAAGUCGUGGAAACAACUUUUUUGCAAAGUAAGGGUAUGAGUGCGUACGAUAGAUGUUCCUCUUGACGCUCACAAAGCGAUGAGCCUUGUUGGCUUAGGGUCGCCCUUUUUAUUUAGUUAAUUCUUUCUCCUAGCUGUUUGUUGACCAUAUAUGAUUGGGAUGUAGGCACUUACAGAACUGACAGACUCUUUUAUCGUCGUUAAUGUAAGUGUUAAUCUUUCUUGGUAAUUUUGGUUGCUACAUUAGACACCACCCUUUGUCUAUUUAAUGAUUCUUAAUUUUCGUGUAAAUGAUUAGUGGAAGACCGAAACAGUUGUUGCUACGGGGGCUCAUUCGAAGGAUUAAGGCUAGUAUAGUUGUGGAAAGACUGUAUCUAUUACAAAAUCCAUGCUGAACACCUUAUUGACAAGAUUAGAACUCGAGGUGCAAGGGCUUAUUAUGGUACCUUGCGCUUUGUUAAGGGAACAGAAAGUUUUGGGUUCUAGGAAUGACUGUUCGGUGAUGUCAAAAAUUACAUUACAUUAUAUUUUUUUUGGAUAUUUUGAUUUGUACCCAUUUAACAAAAUAAAAUGUGACAGAAAACCACAUAUUACACAUACGCACUUAUGUUUAGAUAUCGUUGGUCUUUACUGCUUUCGAUUUUUGGUGGUAUGGAGUAAAAAGCCAGCAUUAGAGUUGAAUUCAAGAUGCCAUACACAAUAUUUUGGUGAUAAAAUUUAACAUGUUAUCUCACAUGACUUUCUUUUCA